AGACCCGAAACCCGGUGAUCUAGCCAUGGGCAGGUUGAAGGUUGGGUAACACUAACUGGAGGACCGAACCGACUAAUGUUGAAAAAUUAGCGGAUGACCUGUGGCUGGGGGUGAAAGGCCAAUCAAACCGGGAGAUAGCUGGUUCUCCCCGAAAGCUAUUUAGGUAGCGCCUCGUGAAUUCAUCUCCGGGGGUAGAGCACUGUUUCGGCUAGGGGGCCAUCCCGGCUUACCAACCCGAUGCAAACUGCGAAUACCGGAGAAUGUUAUCACGGGAGACACACGGCGGGUGCUAACGUCCGUCGUGAAGAGGGAAACAACCCAGACCGCCAGCUAAGGUCCCAAAGUCAUGGUUAAGUGGGAAACGAUGUGGGAAGGCCCAGACAGCCAGGAUGUUGGCUUAGAAGCAGCCAUCAUUUAAAGAAAGCGUAAUAGCUCACUGGUCGAGUCGGCCUGCGCGGAAGAUGUAACGGGGCUAAACCAUGCACCGAAGCUGCGGCAGCGACACUGUGUGUUGUUGGGUAGGGGAGCGUUCUGUAAGCCUGUGAAGGUGUGUCGUGAGGCAUGCUGGAGGUAUCAGAAGUGCGAAUGCUGACAUAAGUAACGAUAAAGCGGGUGAAAAGCCCGCUCGCCGGAAGACCAAGGGUUCCUGUCCAACGUUAAUCGGGGCAGGGUGAGUCGACCCCUAAGGCGAGGCCGAAAGGCGUAGUCGAUGGGAAACGGGUUAAUAUUCCCGUACUUGGUGUUACUGCGAAGGGGGGACGGAGAAGGCUAUGUUGGCCGGGCGACGGUUGUCCCGGUU
rnacentral:rRNA from 2 species